rnacentral:rRNA from 1 species
AAAGAAGACCCUGUUGAGCUUGACUCUAGUCUGACUUUGUGAAGAGACAUGAGAGGUGUAGCAUAAGUGGGAGCUUUGGGAUCAAUCUUGACUAGAGUUUCGGCUUUAGUUGAGACCCCAUUGCGCCAAUGAAAUACCACUACUCUCAUCGUUUCUUUACUUACACGGUGAAAAGGAAAUUGUGAUAGUGUCUCUCUCUUCUGGACUUCGGUUCAUGAACGAGGAGGCCACCUAUCACUAAAUUCUAGAGCAAAAUGUGGUUCCAACCAUACAUGCCUUUGACACCUAGAGUAUCUCUUGUUCUUUCGGGGACUUGAGUACUUUAAAGACAAAGGUUUGGUUGGUAACCAGUGUAACUUGUACUUUACUGUACAAGAUCUACACAACCGCAUAAUCCCAACCGUGGACAUUGUCAGGUUGGGGGUUUGACUGGGGCGGUACAUCUGUCAAAAGGUAACGCAGGUGUCCUAAGGCCAGCUCAGUGAGGCCAGAAACCUCACGUAGAGCAAAAGGGCAAAAGCUGGCUUGAUCCAGACUUUCAGUACGAAUACGGACCGCGAAAGCGGGGCCUAUCGAUCCUUUCGAUGAAUGAGAGUUUCAUCCGAGAGGUGUCAGAAAAGUUACCACAGGGAUAACUGGCUUGUGGCAGCCAAGCGUUCAUAGCGACGUUGCUUUUUGAUCCUUCGAUGUCG